GAAUCUUCCGCAAUGCGCGAAAGCGUGACGGAGCAAUGCCGCGUGCAGGAUGAAGCCCCUCGGGGUGUAAACUGCUGUCAGGGAUUAGGAACACAAUGACCAGUCCCAAAGGAAGAGACGACUAACUCUGUGCCAGCAGUCGCGGUAAUACAGAGGUCUCGAGCGUUAGUCGGAAUCACUGGGCUUAAAGCGUGCGUAGGCGGAUGUGCAGGCGUCGUGUGAAAGCCCUCGGCUCAACCGGGGAAUUGCACGGCGAACCGCACGUCUUGAGACAAGUAGGGGCGGUCGGAACGAUAGGUGGAGUGGUGAAAUGCGUUGAUAUCUAUCGGAACGCCAAAGGUGAAGACAGACCGCUGGGCUUGUUCUGACGCUGAGGCACGAAAGCGUGGGGAGCAAACGGG
rnacentral:rRNA from 1 species